rnacentral:rRNA from 1 species
AUGUUUCUGCUUUACACGGGUUCCUUCACCACCGCGGCUCCUCUGACAGACCAGACAGAGACCCCGAUUAGGCCGAUUUCAUUCCCCACAACACCGCCAAACCCUAACCCCCUCCCCCCUGUUUCAAAUCUACAAAUAGUCAGUGUUACCGUUGCCUCCCCUCCCCUCCCCUCCGGCGAAAUGGAUCUCUCCGCCACCCCCACCAAAUCCAAAUCCAAAUCCAAGCCCGGACCCUCCCCGUCCAAGGUCGCCGCCGCCGCCGCCCAGAUGGACUUCUCCACCCCGUCCAAGCCGGCGCCCACGCCCACGCCCAGGCGCAAGUCCAAGCCCGUGCCCUACGCGCCGCCCGCGUCUCCGGCGACGCCCUCCGCCGUCCGCAGGUCGCGCCGCCUCCUCGACACCCCCACCAAGGACCUCUCGGAGGCCGCCCUCUUCGAGACGCCCGCCAAGCCCAAGCCCAAGCCCACCCUCAAGCGGAAGCGGGCCUCGCCGUCGCCGUCGCCCAAGACCCCGGCCCGGUCCGAGCCCAAGCCCAAGCGGCAGCGGCGGCCACCGGCGAAGCGGGCCUUCUACCGCAAGGUGGUGUACGACGGCGAGGAGUUCGCCGCCGGGGACGACGUGUACGUCAAGCGGCUGGAGGGGGCCGAGUCGGACGCCGAUGACCCGGAGGAGCCGGAGGAUUGCCGCGUCUGCUUCCGCGCCGGCGGCGGGGUCAUGGUGGAGUGCGACGCCUGCCUCGGCGGCUUCCACCUGCGCUGCGUGCGCCCGCCGCUGCGCCGCGUGCCGGAGGGGGACUGGGCGUGCCCCUACUGCGAGGCCGAGCGUGAGGGGAGGGCGAUGGACAGGCCCAAGCCGCCCGUCGGGAAGAAGAUCAAGAGGACUGCCAAGGAGAAGCUUCUCGACAGCGAUUUAUGGGCUGCACACAUUGAGAGUUUACGGAGGGAGCCAGAUGGAGCAUUCUGGGCAAAGGUGAGGUGGUACACUAUUCCUGAAGAGACCGCAGCAGGAAGGCAGCCACACAAUUUGCGGAGAGAGCUCUAUCGUACCAAUGCUCUUGGAGACAUUGAGAUGGAAAGUAUCGUUAGACAUUGUUUUGUCAUGAGCCCCAAAGAGUAUAGGGAUGCCACUAAUGACGGAGAUGAUGUAUUUUAUUGCGAAUACGAGUAUGAUGUACAUUGGCAUAAUUUUAAGCGUCUGGCAGAUAUUGAUGAUGAACCUGAGACAAAAGAAGAUCCCAGUGACGAGCCUUACAAUGCUGCUAAUGAUUAUAACAGUGAUACCGAUGAAGAUUCAGAAUACGACGAGGAGGAUGAACCGGCUACACGUUGCUCAGCCAGAAAGAACCAAUCUAAUGAGAAAAUUUUGCCUGCUAAUUCAUGGAAAGGGAGGAUAUAUGGCCUGCAAAAGAUUGGGAUCCGAAAAAUACCUGAGCAUGUUCGGUGUCAUCAAAAGACUGCUCUGGAGAAGGCGAAGGCUACCCUGUUAUUGGCUACUCUUCCCAAGUCAUUGCCUUGCAGGGAUAAAGAAAUGGAGGAGAUCUCUACAUUUGUGAAGGAUGCAAUUUGCAAUGACCAUUGUCUAGGACGCUGCCUUUAUAUUCAUGGUGUGCCUGGUACUGGCAAGACUAUGAGUGUACUUGCAGUCAUGAGGAGGUUGAGAUCUGAAUUUGAUUCUGGAGCUCUGAGGCCCUAUUGUUUUAUAGAAAUCAAUGGUCUCAAAUUAGCUUCUCCAGAGAAUAUCUACAAGGUUAUAUAUGAACAAUUGAGUGGGCAUAGGGUGGGAUGGAAAAAAGCUCUUCAUUAUUUAACAGAGCACUUCUCAGAUGGCAAGAAAAUUGGAAAGCAAGCAAACCAGCCAAUUGUUUUGCUCAUCGACGAGCUUGAUCUCCUUUUGACAAGAAAUCAGUCGGUGCUGUAUAACAUUCUUGAUUGGCCCACCAAGCCAAAUUCAAACCUAGUUAUUAUAGGUAUAGCGAACACAAUGGAUCUUCCAGAAAAACUGUUGCCUCGUAUCUCAAGUAGGAUGGGUAUUCAACGGCUGUGUUUUGGCCCCUAUAAUUAUCGGCAACUGCAGGAAAUCAUAACAAGCCGUCUUAAGGGUAUCAAUGCCUUUGAAGAUCAAGCUAUUGAGUUUGCUUCUAGAAAGGUAGCUGCUAUGUCCGGUGAUGCUAGGCGGGCCUUAGAAAUUUGUAGACGCGCAGCAGAGUUCGCAGACUACCGUGUUAAACAAUUUCAACAGGUUGAACAGACUCCCUCUUCUGCAAAUACAGGAAAUGGUUUUGUUUGCAUGGGUGACAUAGAAGACGCUAUUCAAGAAGUCUUUCAGGCACCACAUAUUCAAGUAAUGAAGAAUUGCCCAAAAUUUGGAAAAGUUAUACUGGCUGCUAUGGUCCACGAAUUAUACAGAAGUGGCCUAGGUGAAGUAUUGUUUGAUAAGCUGGCAACGACUGUUUUCUCUUGGUGCCACGUCAACAGAGAACUAUUGCCUGGAUACGAUACUCUCCUGAAAAUCUGUUGCAAGCUUGGUGAGAGCAAGAUCGUUCUCUGCGAGGAGGGCACCAAGCAUAAGUUGCAGAAGCUGCAGCUCAACUACCCAAGCGACGAUGUGACCUUUGCCCUCAAGGAGUCCCCAGAUCUUCCUUGGCUGUCCAAGUACCUCUAA